GAGGUGGCUUGCCGCCUGCUGCUCCAGCACAGCUUGAUUACCUCUGCGGGGAAACGUUUCUUACGUAUUUAUGGGAUCAGGUUGCGAUGAAGGUGUCAUUCCCCAUCCUUUCCUCUCCGUGCUGGCGGGGGUUCCCCAGGAAGGCACGCAAGUGCUGCCUGGAAAAUGGAGGCGCCGCUCAGCCGGGUCUUUGUGAAGGGGAGAGCGGCUGGGAGCACCGACCUGGUCGUGAGGGGAGAGCUGACCCUGCCCAUGGCGAGCAGGCAGGGUGAGCAGAGGCCGGGGGAGGAGGCAGCCCUGGGUAUGCCGGUGCCACUCGGUGUGGUUGAAUACAGCAGUGCGUUUUGUGGUCCAGAGAGCCAUUUUACAGAAGGACUGCUGUGUGAUACACAUCCACCAUUGAUUUUUCUGCAAGGAACAGAAGCAGAUCCCUUAAAUCUACCGUGAAUGUAUUGGUCUUCUAUUACUGCAAGUCCCCAUCUUUUUGAAUUGAAAAGAGAAAGAGCAGAGGCUUUUCUUAAACAUUUCCCACUUCUUCCUAACAUUGCCAUGUUUCAACACUGCAAAGAGCAGCCACAGAUUCUGAACACGGAAAGGAAAAGGCUCUGUCACCCAACCACCUGCUGUACUCUGCUUCUGCUGUUGGUUUGUGGGGCUUUUUUUCUUUCCAAA
rnacentral:lncRNA from 1 species